GCUUGCUGGGGGGGUUACUGGAAAACGGGUGAGUAACACGUGAGUAACCUGCCCUUGACUCUGGGAUAAGCCUGGGAAACUGGGUCUAAUACCGGAUAUGACUCCUCAUCGCAUGGUGGGGGGUGGAAAGCUUUUGUGGUUUUGGAUGGACUCGCGGCCUAUCAGCUUGUUGGUGGGGUAAUGGCCUACCAAGGCGACGACGGGUAGCCGGCCUGAGAGGGUGACCGGCCACACUGGGACUGAGACACGGCCCAGACUCCUACGGGAGGCAGCAGUGGGGAAUAUUGCACAAUGGGCGCAAGCCUGAUGCAGCGACGCCGCGUGAGGGAUGACGGCCUUCGGGUUGUAAACCUCUUUCAGUAGGGAAGAAGCCUUUCGGGGUGACGGUACUUGCAGAAGAAGCGCCGGCUAACUACGUGCCAGCAGCCGCGGUAAUACGUAGGGCGCAAGCGUUAUCCGGAAUUAUUGGGCGUAAAGAGCUCGUAGGCGGUUUGUCGCGUCUGCUGUGAAAGACCGGGGCUCAAC
rnacentral:rRNA from 3 species